AUUGAACGCUGGCGGCAGGCUUAACACAUGCAAGUCGAGCGGAGAUGAGGUGCUUGCACCUUAUCUUAGCGGCGGACGGGUGAGUAAUGCUUAGGAAUCUGCCUAUUAGUGGGGGACAACAUUCCGAAAGGAAUGCUAAUUCCGCAUACGUCCUACGGGAGAAAGCAGGGGAUCUUCGGACCUUGCGCUAAUAGAUGAACCUAAGUCGGAUUAGCUAGUUGGUGGGGUAAAGGCCUACCAAGGCGACGAUCUGUAGCGGGUCUGAGAGGAUGAUCCGCCACACUGGGACUGGGACACGGCCCAGACUCCUACGGGAGGCAGCAGUGGGGAAUAUUGGACAAUGGGGGGAACCCUGAUCCAGCCAUGCCGCGUGUGUGAAGAAGGCCUUAUGGUUGUAAAGCACUUUAAGCGAGGAGGAGGCUACUGAGACUAACACUCUUGGAUAGUGGACGUUACUCGCAGAAUAAGCACCGGCUAACUCUGUGCCAGCAGCCGCCGUAAGAC
rnacentral:rRNA from 1 species